CGGCUCAGUAACACGUAGACAACUCACCCUGCGGUGGCGGAUAACCUUGGGAAACUGAGGGUAAUACGCCAUAGGCGAUAGGUACUGGAACGUCCAUUCGCUUAAAGCCUUCGGGCGCCACAGGACAGGUCUGCGGUGGAUUAGGCUGUUGGCGGGGUAAUGGCCCACCAAACCUGUGAUCCAUACGGGCUCUGAGAGGAGUAGCCCGGAGAAGGGUACUGAGACAAGGACCCUAGCCCUACGGGGUGCAGCAGGCGCGAAACCUCCGCAAUGCACGAAAGUGUGACGGGGGGAUUCCACGUGCAGGCUUUGCCUGCUUUUCUUAAGUCUAAACCGCUUGGGGAAUAAGGGCUGGGCAAGACUCGUGCCAGCCGCCGCGGUAAUACGAGCAGCCCUAGUGGCGUUCACGUAUAUUGGGCCUGAAGCGUGCGUAGUCGGUUGAACAUGUCCUUGGUGAAAUCCUGCGGCUUAACCGUGGGAAUGGCCAGGGAAACUGUUCGACUUGGAGCCGGGAUGGGCCAGGGGUAUUCUGUGGGUAGGGGUAAAAUCCUAUAAUCCUCAGAGGACCUACGGUGGCGAAGGCGUCUGGCUGGAACGGGCUCGACGAUGAGGCACGAAAGCUAGGGGAGCGACCCGGAUUAGAUACCCGGUUAGUCCUAGCU
rnacentral:rRNA from 1 species